rnacentral:rRNA from 1 species
UACGUAGGGUGCAAGCGUUGUCCGGAAUUAUUGGGCGUAAAGAGCUCGUAGGCGGUCUGUCGCGUCGGCUGUGAAAACCCGGAGCUCAACUCCGGGCCUGCAGUCGAUACGGGCAGACUGGAGUUCGGCAGGGGAGACUGGAAUUCCUGGUGUAGCGGUGAAAUGCGCAGAUAUCAGGAGGAACACCGGUGGCGAAGGCGGGUCUCUGGGCCGAAACUGACGCUGAGGAGCGAAAGCGUGGGGAGCAAACAGG